GCUCGAUUAGCUCAGUUGGUUAGAGCAUGCGGCUGUUAACCGCAAGGUCGAAGGUUCGAUCCCUUCAUCGAGCG
rfam:Ichthyophthirius multifiliis unplaced genomic scaffold scaff_1120509251171, whole genome shotgun sequence.